rnacentral:rRNA from 1 species
GACGAACGCUGGCGGCGUGCUUAACACAUGCAAGUCGAACGGAAAGGCCCUGCUUUUGUUGGGUGCUCGAGUGGCGAACGGGUGAGUAACACGUGAGUAACCUGCCCUUGACUUUGGGAUAACUUCAGGAAACUGGGGCUAAUACCGGAUAGGAGCUCCUGCUGCAUGGUGGGGGUUGGAAAGUUUCGGCGGUUGGGGAUGGACUCGCGGCUUAUCAGCUUGUUGGUGGGGUAGUGGCUUACCAAGGCUUUGACGGGUAGCCGGCCUGAGAGGGUGACCGGCGACAUGGGGACUGAGAUACGGCCCAGACGCCUACGGGAGGCAGCAGUGGGGAAUAUUGCACAAUGGGCGGAAGCCUGAUGCAGCAACGCCGCGUGCGGGAUGACGGCCUUCGGGUUGUAAACCGCUUUCGCCUGUGACGAAGCGUGAGUGACGGUAAUGGGUAAAGAAGCACCGGCUAACUACGUG